rnacentral:rRNA from 1 species
AGGGUAACCUAGCUAAUAUCUAGGAUUAUCGGACGUUACUCGCAGAAUAAGCACCGGCUAACUCUGUGCCAGCAGCCGCGGUAAUACAGAGGGUGCGAGCGUUAAUCGGAAUUACUGGGCGUAAAGCGCGCGUAGGCGGUUUGUUAAGUCGGAUGUGAAAUCCCCGGGCUCAACCUGGGAACUGCAUUCGAUACUGGCAAGCUAGAGUAUGGGAGAGGAUGGUAGAAUUCCAGGUGUAGCGGUGAAAUGCGUAGAGAUCUGGAGGAAUACCGAUGGCGAAGGCAGCCAUCUGGCCUAAUACUGACGCUGAGGUGCGAAAGCAUGGGGAGCAAACAGGAUUAGAUACCCUGGUAGUCCAUGCCGUAAACGAUGUCAACUAGCCGUUGGGGACCUUGAGUCUUUAGUGGCGCAGCUAACGCGAUAAGUUGACCGCCUGGGGAGUACGGCCGCAAGGUUAAAACUCAAAUGAAUUGACGGG